GUCGAGAGGCUUCGGCAAUGGGGGAAACCCUGACCGAGCGACGCCGCGUGAGGGAUGACGCCCUUCGGGGUGUAAACCUCUUUUCUGGGGGAAGAACAACACCGGUACGAAUACGACCGGUGCCUGACGGUACCCCAGGAAUAAGCUCCGGCUAACUCCGUGCCAGCAGCCGCGGUAAUACGGGGGGAGCAAACGUUGUUCGGAAUCACUGGGCGUAAAGGGCGCGUAGGCGGCCCGGUAAGUGGUGUGUGAAAGCCCCUGGCUCAACCAGGGAACUGCGCUCCAAACUACCGGGCUUGAGGGCAGUAGAGGAAACUGGAAUUCCUGGUGUAGCGGUGAAAUGCGUAGAUAUCAGGAGGAACACCGUUGGCGAAGGCGAGUUUCUGGGCUGUCCCUGACGCUGAUGCGCGAAAGCUGGGGGAGCAAACAGGAUUAGAAACCCGAGUAGUCC
rnacentral:rRNA from 1 species